rnacentral:misc_RNA from 1 species
AACGCACGAGACCUGCGGACCUGCGGAAGGAUCAUUACAGGACUCGCAAGACUCCUACAAACCCUGUGAACUUAACUAUAAGCACGUUGCUUCGGCGGGUGUCUCGGCGAGGGUUCUCCCUCCCCGGGGCGCUAAGCCCGCCGGCAGCCUACUAUACUCUGUCUCUUUGCGUUGGCAUCUCGAGUACAAACAAACAAGUUAAAACUUUCAACAACGGAUCUCUAGAUCGGAAGAGCACAC